GAGAGAUACAAUUAUUGAGAUUUUCUAUGAGAAGCAUUUGGGCCAAUUAAUAGAUAUUAUAACAGCAUCAUGUCCUACAGAAGGUUUUCAAUCAGCCAAGAAAAUUGAAGGGGCUGGUGGAAGUCUUGGAGAUAAGGAUGGCGUGAAGCCUGAAAUUCUGUCAAACAUAUGUGAAUUACUUUGCUUUUGUGUUCUCCAACACCCAUAUAGAAUAAAGUCUAAUUUUCUCCUAAAUAAUGUGAUAGAUAAAGUGGUUCUAUUAACACAACGGAGGGAAAAGUACUUGGUUGUUGCGGCAGUUCGAUUUAUUCGUACUGUUCUUUCACGCCAUGAUGAACAUCUGAUAAAUUAUUUUGUCAAGAACGGCACUAUCAAACCUAUCAUAGAUGCUUU
rnacentral:misc_RNA from 1 species